AUGGGAAACGAGGGAAUAAGAUUGUUAGCUUUACCAAUAUCUUCACUGUUCCCCUACUUGUACUUCAUGAUAAGAGACUUGCAUGUUGCAAAAAGAACAGAAGAUAUUGGGUUCUAUGCUGGGUUUGUAGGUGCUUCUUUUAUGUUCGGAAGAUUUUUGACUGCGACUAUUUGGGGAAUAGCAGCAGACCGUAUUGGGAGGAAGCCAGUUAUUCUGUUCAGCGUUUUCUCCGUGGUAGUAUUUAAUACUUUGUUUGGGCUUAGUGUCACCUAUUGGAUGGCGAUAGCUACAAGGUUUCUCAUGGGUGCUUUGAAUGGCUUACUCGGACCAAUAAAGGCUUAUUCUAUUGAAGUUUGCCGACCCGAACAUGAAGCUCUAGCACUAUCACUUGUUAGCACAUCAUGGGCAAUAGGUCUCAUCAUUGGUCCUGCUCUUGGAGGCUACCUUGCACUGCCUGCAGAAAAGUAUCCAAAUAUCUUUUCGCCUGACUCAUUCUUUGGAAGGUUCCCGUACUUCUUACCAUGCUUAUGCACAUCAGUCUUUGCUGCCGUUGUUCUGAUAGGCUGCCUAUGGAUGCCGGAAACAUUACACAAGCAUAAAGCCAGUGUAAAUGGCAAACAAAGUGUUGAAGCUGUGGAGGCCCAUCUGAUUGAUCCGCAAGAAAAGGUCGAAGAAAGUGCUAGUGUAGAUACCAAGAAGAGCUUAUUCAAGAAUUGGCCAUUGAUGUCUUCCAUAAUUGUUUAUUGUAUCUUCUCCUAUCAUGACAUGGCCUAUACAGAGGUGUUCUCUCUAUGGGCUGAAAGUGACAAGAAGUAUGGUGGACUGGGUUUAUCGUCCGUAGAUGUAGGCCAAACGCUCGGAAUAACAGGUGGCAGUUUGCUUGUGUAUCAAAUGUUCAUAUACCCACGCAUCAAUAAAGUUCUUGGACCGAUCAAAUGUUGUCAAAUCGCAGCCGCUUUGUGCAUACCUAUUCUAUUCACCUACCCCUAUAUGACAUACCUGUCAGGACCUGCAUUAUCAAUCAUUCUGACUAUUGCAUCAGUUUUAAAAAAUGAUAUUGCUGCUACCAUCAUUACAGGCAUCUUCAUCCUUCAAAACAACGCUGUGUCUCAGGACCAAAGAGGAGCAGCAAAUGGAUUAGCCAUGACUGCAAUGUCCCUUUUCAAGGCAGUUGCUCCUGCAGGCGCCGGCAUUGUGUUCUCAUGGGCGCAGACACGCCAACAUACUUUCUUCCUUCCAGGUGAUCAUAUGGUGUUCUUUCUGCUGAACAUGAUAGAGCUCCUUGGACUUGUCCUCACGUUCAAACCCUUCCUCGCCGUGCCAGAGCACAACGAUAGAAACUAG
rnacentral:rRNA from 1 species